CACCAUGUCACCUGAUUUUUUUGUUGUUGUUGUUGUUAUUUUUAUAGGAGUUGGAGUUCCACAGACACUGGUGUUAAAAAGUGAGAUUCGUGAUUUUGAAGAGUUUUUGGUCACACAAAUGGAAAUGGAAAUUCUGCUAAACAAGGUUCUCUGGGUACUCCUGGAAAAGGCUGCUGGAUCCUCUCUGUGCAGCACCGGCCCAGAAUAAAACAUGGUGUGAGACUGCUCAAGAGAUAACAAUAAAACAAGGAGUUAAAAUGUAAGAACCUGGUGAAGGAAGCUACUUGAAAGAGGUACAUGACCUUCAUUCUCUUGGCCAAAGGCAGUCAUCGAGGGGAUUGUGGUGGAAGAAUGACACGGCUGGGGAGGAAUUGUUGGAAGUGUCUUAUGAAGCAUUUAAAGAAAGUCGAAAACAAGAUGAGUUUGGCUUUUGAAAGUAAGAAUAGAAUUAAGAGGAUGUACCUGGGUCUCAGUCCUUUGGAACAGACCUGCAGGAGGAACUGGAAGAAGUUGCAAAGCAGGACUGUUGAAGCUCUGAAGCAGAGAAGAACUUUGGCAGAAGUUUAGAAGACUAGUAUUGCUGUUUGCUGCAGCUGCAGGCAAUGAAACCAGAAAACUCAACAAAACCCGCGUGGAGUUUACUGGGGAAAGGGAGCAAAGGGAGGGGUAGGUGUUGGCCAACCGGGAACAGAGAUGGAAGGGACGAACAGACAGGAGGCACUCGCUUAAAAGGGAAAGCUUGCACAUGCGUACAGAGUCCUUACACAGCCAUGUAAGGCAUGACGUAGCCACACAACACAGGGCCCUUUGAGCUGCUAAGUAUCGGCCAGGGGGCGGGGUUAGCAUAAUGCCAGGAUGUCAACAUAUGGUAUACCUAUAGGAGUGUGGCUUUUAAAGAAACGAUCUAAUGCAUAUAGUAACAUAGUCAUGAAUUUCUCUUUUCUAAAAAAGACAUAUUUACAGCUUGUUUUACUCCUUGAAGAUGGCGGGUGGGGACAGGAGUGCAGAGUAUUCUGUCUACAGUCACCCUGAGGACAGGAUCACCCUAUCCUUGAUAGAGGUAAGAACUCUCUAUUGGCUAGCUGCUUUGCUUUUCUGAUCUUCAGUUUGAACCCCAUUAUCUGUGUCUGGGUUUUUAUUAUUCUUGCUACACUUGAAUUUUUGGAUUGGUAUCUUCUACCAAAGUAAAGGGUUUCCAGUUCAUAUCCUCCAAAUACUACUUGACUCCCAGCUCUGUUUUGCCUCUUUAGAAGUCCAGUGACGCAGUGUUAUCUCCUUUCUUAUUUUCCCACAACCCCAUGAAAUUCUGUCCUUAUUUUCAGAGGUUUUAAUAUAUUUUCUGUUCCCACUUGGGCUUGCUAUUUCCU
rnacentral:lncRNA from 1 species